CGGGCUUAAUUUUCUGAAACAAUAACGUGAGAUAAAUGGACAACUUCUGCCUAUAAAAUGGGAGAGUUUGUCCUGGCUUGUAUUAUCUAGAAUAAAUUUUCAGGUUGGAUUCAAAAUUCCUAUUCCGACCAAUUUCAAUAAGAAAACAAAAACAAAAAUGGCAAAGUCUGUUGGUUCCAGUACCACAAUUGUUCUACUCAUUGCUUUCCUUCUCAUUGCUUCCUUGGCGGUGCCAGUGGUAGAAGCAAAAGGAGGAAGGGGAUGCAAGCAGGCGAGCAAGUUGUUUCCAGGCCCCUGUAAAGACCACUCAGAAUGUAACAAAAAAUGCAGAGAAGCAGAGAAGGCAAAAUCGGGUCUUUGCCGAUCUGAGGGGACCAAAGGCAAAAAAUGCUUUUGCUACAUGUGCUAAUUAUUCUUACAAGAUAGCAUUGCUCUGUGGGGGCUUGGAACUCUUGAUUCAUUGAGAGCAUUUUUCACUUCACUCACGGCCUAAAUUCGAAUCUCCACUCUCCCUUUACCUUGUUUGUAACUUCAGAAACAAAAAGUUUACUGGAUGUUUGUGUAAUUUGAUUCAUAAAAUACUUUUGAAGUUACUGAUCAAGAAAUACAAAUUUAAACAAUAAUAUUCAUUCAUGUAA